CUUGACUUUACAGUUACGACAGAGGCAGGAGAAUACGAUAAUUGAAAACCCAGAUGUCCCACAGGAUUUCGGGAAUCAAGGUAUGGCAUUUGAUUUGUACUAGUUCAGUUUUUAAAGCAGGUGUGAGAAUGCCUACUGUGUGCUUGGAGUGAGGGGUACAAAGAUGUCUAGGAGCUCUCGGUUGUUUUACCAUUCUCUUGGAGGUUGUGCUUGGCUUUGCCUUAGGUGGCAUUAUUUAAUCAGCUGUUGUCUUCCUUCUGUUCCUACGUUCACUUAUGCCAACCACACCUGUUCCUGAUCUAACUACCUGAGGGAAAUUAACGCUUCACAUACCUCUCAUUUGGAGGCGGGCUUUGUUAGUUACUUCAUUCUCCAUGAAGUCAGGUUUAAUUGCUAAAAUGAGAAUAACUAGAUAGAAGAUUAUAGAAACCUGAUUGGCAUACAGUGUUAUUGCACCAGAAUUGUGUUUGUCAAAUACCAAUUUUUUGACAUGAAUGAUGAGUCAUCUCACAGGGCCUCUUGCAGACAGCCCAAUUUAAAGAUCAGCUGAAAUCAAGUUAAGGAACUUUCAUUCUGACCCACAGG
rnacentral:lncRNA from 1 species